CCUCCUUAUACGAUUUAGAACUUAUUUGUUCGUAGUGUCCACACAGAUGAUUGUUAGUUAGUUUUACCCUUUGGGUUUAACUGAUUAAUAUGCUCUUUAAAAAUUUGGAAAAGCUGAUAAUAAAAUUCUGAUAAAUACUUUGUAUUUAUCAAGAGUUUUCAAAAGUAAAAAAGAAUGAUAGCAGUAUCAUUCAGUGCCAAUUUAAUCAUUCAUGAUUAAUUGGUAUCUACUUUAGUAUUCAAUAUUAACUUCUGGCGAAGUUAAACUGUCACUAACAAAGACCCGUUUGGGUUGUAUGGUUAAGUGACUAAGCGUACACGGUGGAUGCCUUGGC
rnacentral:misc_RNA from 1 species